UUUUUUUCCCAUGCGACGUUCCCCAACACGUGCCUCUCAAGAACACGAGAUAGAUACACACACACAUACGGGGGGGGGGGGAGAGAGAGAUUGGACACAUAUCUACUAACACAUACCCUCAGCCCCGAGGGUGAACUACUCCCUCCUCAUCUUGGCCUCCGCUUGGAUGACGACGAUGGCCUCCGGAGAUGAUUUCCCCCGUCC
rnacentral:lncRNA from 1 species